AGUUUUGUGGUGUUAUCAUGCCAGAGUGCAAAUCUGGAGAAGCGUUGUAAUAGGCGCCGGGACUU
rnacentral:tRNA from 1 species